GACGAACGCUGGCGGCGUGCUUAACACAUGCAAGUCGAGCGGAGAUGAGGUGCUUGCACCUUAUCUUAGCGGCGGACGGGUGAGUAAUGCUUAGGAAUCUGCCUAUUAGUGGGGGACAACAUUCCGAAAGGAAUGCUAAUACCGCAUACGUCCUACGGGAGAAAGCAGGGGAUCUUCGGACCUUGCGCUAAUAGAUGAGCCUAAGUCGGAUUAGCUAGUUGGUGGGGUAAAGGCCUACCAAGGCGACGAUCUGUAGCGGGUCUGAGAGGAUGAUCCGCCACACUGGGACUGAGACACGGCCCAGACUCCUACGGGAGGCAGCAGUGGGGAAUAUUGGACAAUGGGGGGAACCCUGAUCCAGCCAUGCCGCGUGUGUGAAGAAGGCCUUAUGGUUGUAAAGCACUUUAAGCGAGGAGGAGGCUACUGAGACUAAUACUCUUGGAUAGUGGACGUUACUCGCAGAAUAAGCACCGGCUAACUCUGUGCCAGCAGCCGCCGUAAGAC
rnacentral:rRNA from 1 species